ACUUUAUGUAAUUGCAUAAAAGGCCCAAACUCACCCCCCACUUGGGGUUGGCCGGUUUUAGUAGUGAAAAGGAGUGUGAAAGGGUUUUGGUGAAAAAUCAAAAAAAAUUUAAAAAAUUUAGUGCCAGUGGUUUAUGCAAGUGGUGAGGAUAAAGGUGAUGGGUAUAGAUUGUAAGAAAAUGUUUUGUGAAACAUUAAUGGCAUUUAUCAUCCCUCACCAAUAAUCCAUCACCCAUCAAACAUAAACCAAAACUUUAUGAAAAACACCAAACACUUUGAAUCAAAAUUCCCAACCUUUUUGUUCUUGGUAAGAAACUCAAGAACAUUGAAGAACACACAUGAAAACUCAUAAGAGCUCCAUGAAUGUUUUCACACAUUAAAACUCAAAUUUUCACUACACAAAAGAGGGUUAAUAUCCUAGGGUACUUAGGGGUUCCAAAAGUCACUUUAAAACCAUUUUACCAAGACAAUCAUGAACCCAAAAAUUCACCCUUUGGAUUUGGCCGAAUUUCCCAACAUACAUGGCACCAAAUUUUAGUUCCAAUAUUCAUG
rnacentral:lncRNA from 1 species